rfam:Camelus ferus unplaced genomic scaffold scaffold252, whole genome shotgun sequence.
GAGGGUAUAGUUCAAUUAGUAGAGUGUGUGCUUAGCAUGCAGGAGGUCCUGGGUUCAAGCCCCAGUGCUUCCA